rnacentral:rRNA from 1 species
GAUGGACGCUGGCGGUAUGCUUAACGCAUGCAAGUCGAACGGUCUUUUCGGAGAUAGUGGCGGACGGGUGAGUAACGCGUGAGAAUCUGGCUUCAGGUCGGGGACAACAGUUGGAAACGACUGCUAAUACCGGAUAUGCCGAGAGGUGAAAGGCUUGCUGCCUGAAGAUGAGCUCGCGUCUGAUUAGCUAGUUGGUGGGGUAAGAGCCUACCAAGGCGACGAUCAGUAGCUGGUCUGAGAGGAUGAUCAGCCACACUGGGACUGAGACACGGCCCAGACUCCUACGGGAAGCAGCAGUGGGGAAUUUUCCGCAAUGGGCGAAAGCCUGACGGAGCAAUACCGCGUGAGGGAGGAAGGGCUCUUGGGUCGUAAACCUCUUUUCUCAGGGUAAGAAAAAAUGACGGUACCUGAGGAAUAAGCAAUCGGCUAAC